UGCUUAAAAUAUGGACUAACUUCAUGCACUGUGUGCAGACAUAUGAAAAGCAACCGGUGACGACAUAACAAACUAUAUGCAGUAUAGUUCGCUAACUAAGACCAUUGUAUGUUUUUAACUUACACGCAAUAUAGAAAACCACAUUCCAUAGGCUCCAAGUCCCAUUUCGAACAAAGAACCCAGCAAAUACUUUACUUCUUGACUAAAAAUCGUAUCAUGAUUCCGACUUUGAUCUCAUGUUUCUUCUUAUCUCAGCAAACAAACACUUCCUUUCCAUGUUUCUGCACGAAAACAAGCACGCACAAAAGCUAGAUAAUACUACAUUGUCUCAAUCGCCAAAUUAGCUACUAUAGGAUCUUUAAGGACUAAAGGCUUACAACUUUAUACUUGAAUUUGUCGCGUAUGUCUUCAACUGCUAUUACAACAGAUGAAAAACCAAGAAUCACCGCAUGAAUUAACUGUCUACUAAGUUUAACUACCUCUCCUUCUGUGAAUAAAGACGAGUGAAAAAGAAGGAAGUAUCAGUGAACUCCUUCAAUUUACAUUGUUCUUAUUCCAUGGAACAUCUUUCCACCUUUCAUAAAC
rnacentral:lncRNA from 1 species